CGGCACGUAGCGCAGCCUGGUAGCGCGCCGUCAUGGGGUGUCGGGGGUCGGAGGUUCAAAUCCUCUCGUGCCGACCA
rnacentral:tRNA from 1 species